UUAAAUUGAAGAGUUUGAUCAUGGCUCAGAUUGAACGCUGGCGGCAGGCCUAACACAUGCAAGUCGAACGGUAACAGGAAGCAGCUUGCUGCUUCGCUGACGAGUGGCGGACGGGUGAGUAAUGUCUGGGAAACUGCCUGAUGGAGGGGGAUAACUACUGGAAACGGUGGCUAAUACCGCAUAACGUCGCAAGACCAAAGAGGGGGACCUUCGGGCCUCUUGCCAUCAGAUGUGCCCAGAUGGGAUUAGCUAGUUGGUGAGGUAACGGCUCACCAAGGCGACGAUCCCUAGCUGGUCUGAGAGGAUGACCAGCCACACUGGAACUGAGACACGGUCCAGACUCCUACGGGAGGCAGCAGUGGGGAAUAUUGCACAAUGGGCGCAAGCCUGAUGCAGCCAUGCCGCGUGUAUGAAGAAGGCCUUCGGGUUGUAAAGUACUUUCAGCGGGGAGGAAGGUGUUGUGGUUAAUAACCACAGCAAUUGACGUUACCCGCAGAAGAAGCACCGGCUAACUCCGUGCCAGCAGCCGCGGUAAUACGGAGGGUGCAAGCGUUAAUCGGAAUUACUGGGCGUAAAGCGCACGCAGGCGGUCUGUCAAGUCGGAUGUGAAAUCCCCGGGCUCAACCUGGGAACUGCAUUCGAAACUGGCAGGCUUGAGUCUUGUAGAGGGGGGUAGAAUUCCAGGUGUAGCGGUGAAAUGCGUAGAGAUCUGGAGGAAUACCGGUGGCGAAGGCGGCCCCCUGGACAAAGACUGACGCUCAGGUGCGAAAGCGUGGGGAGCAAACAGGAUUAGAUACCCUGGUAGUCCACGCCGUAAACGAUGUCUACUUGGAGGUUGUGCCCUUGAGGCGUGGCUUCCGGAGCUAACGCGUUAAGUAGACCGCCUGGGGAGUACGGCCGCAAGGUUAAAACUCAAAUGAAUUGACGGGGGCCCGCACAAGCGGUGGAGCAUGUGGUUUAAUUCGAUGCAACGCGAAGAACCUUACCUGGUCUUGACAUCCACAGAAGAAUCCAGAGAUGGAUUUGUGCCUUCGGGAACUGUGAGACAGGUGCUGCAUGGCUGUCGUCAGCUCGUGUUGUGAAAUGUUGGGUUAAGUCCCGCAACGAGCGCAACCCUUAUCCUUUGUUGCCAGCGGUUAGGCCGGGAACUCAAAGGAGACUGCCAGUGAUAAACUGGAGGAAGGUGGGGAUGACGUCAAGUCAUCAUGGCCCUUACGACCAGGGCUACACACGUGCUACAAUGGCGCAUACAAAGAGAAGCGACCUCGCGAGAGCAAGCGGACCUCAUAAAGUGCGUCGUAGUCCGGAUUGGAGUCUGCAACUCGACUCCAUGAAGUCGGAAUCGCUAGUAAUCGUGGAUCAGAAUGCCACGGUGAAUACGUUCCCGGGCCUUGUACACACCGCCCGUCACACCAUGGGAGUGGGUUGCAAAAGAAGUAGGUAGCUUAACCUUCGGGAGGGCGCUUACCACUUUGUGAUUCAUGACUGGGGUGAAGUCGUAACAAGGUAACCGUAGGGGAACCUGCGGUUGGAUCACCUCCUUACCUUAAAGAAGC
rnacentral:rRNA from 20 species